CGCCGACACCGAAACCCGCGGACUCGUCGCCUGCGGCACCGGCGUCGGCGUCGCGAUGUUCGCCAACAAGUUCCCCGGAGUCUUCGCCGCCACGUGUCUCUCCCCCGCCGACGCCCUCAACGCCCGCUCCAUCAACAACUCCAACGUCCUCGCCGUCUCCGGCAUGUCGACCCCGCCGGAAUCCGCCGUCGAGAUCCUCGACACCUGGCUCAACACUCCCUUCAAAUCCCCAUGCCCGGCGUCGGAGUCAAAACCCUGGCCGGAAGAGGUUUCAUCGUUUCUCGACAAAUCUAUCAACGAAAUGCCGAAAAUCGGGGCGG
rnacentral:lncRNA from 1 species